rnacentral:lncRNA from 1 species
ACCAGAAAGAAGAAGAAGAAGAAGAAGAAGAAGAAGAAGAAGAAGAAGAAGGAGAAGAAGGAGAAGAAGGAGAAGAAGGAGAAGAAGGAGAAGAAGGAGAAGAAGGAGAAGGAGCAGCAGCAGCAGCUAUUUUGGGGGUGGGUGAUGGUAUCACGGACAGAGAGAGCCAGGUAAGGUUCUGGGUCUGGGGAUGUCUCAGUGAACACAGUAGGUCAAAGCCCUGCCCCUGGGGUGCUGAGAGCCUAGGUACUGUGCCACAGCUGGCUCCACCGACCCUCUAGAGAAGGGUCCUGUCACUUCUUACCUGCUUCUUCAAUUCCCAUCCCUUGUCUGGGCAGUUUUUCUCGCCUCCGCCCUCUUCCUCACCUGCCUGCCCCAUGGGGGACACUUCCACCCUUUGGCGUUCUGGUCCUCUGGGGGUCCUUGCCCUCUCUGCGCAUCCUUCCGUCUCCACGUGGUGUCCCAACUUCACACCCUUGUAAUGCUGGGUGACAUUGUUGACUUGCUGCUGUCUCCAUCCCGAGGACUGGCAGAGGCCUCCCGGGUGAGGCUGACUGUGCCUCUGGAUUGUGCCAGGUUUCCUAGCCCUUGGCAGAGUCUGCAGGUACACACACAGUCGGUUAGAGGCUGCGCACUUACUCCAGGAACAGUGAUUGACUCCAGCUGCCUUGGACUCGUGUGCUCGCCUCCUUACCAUCUCCAGAGGCCAGCCAACUGGCAUCCAUUGGAGGGCAGGCUUUGGUAG